rnacentral:rRNA from 1 species
AUUGAACGCUGGCGGAAUCCUUUACACAUGCAAGUCGAACGGCAGCAUAGGUGCUUGCACCUGAUGGCGAGUGGCGAACGGGGGAGUAAUACAUCGGAACGUGCCCAGUCUAGGGGGAUAACGUAGCGAAAGUUACGCUAAUACCGCAUACGAUCUACGGGUGAAAGCGGGGGACCGUAAGGCGUCGCCCGAUUGUGGAGGCGGAUGUCAGAUUAGGUAGUUGGUGGGGUAAAGGCCCACCAAGCCAACGAUCUGUAGCUGGUAUGAGAGGACGACCAGCCACACUGGGACUGAGACACGGCCCAGACUCCUACGGGAGGCAGCAGUGGGGAAUUUUGGACAAUGGGCGCAAGCCUGAUCCAGCCAUUCCGCGUGCAGGAUGAAGGCCUUCGGGUUGUAAACUGCUUUUGUACGGAACGAAAAGCUCUGGGUUAAUACCCCGGGGUCAUGACGGUACCGUAAGAAUAAGCACCGGCUAACUACGUGCCAGCCGCCGCGGUAA